rnacentral:rRNA from 1 species
ACUCCUACGGGAGGCAGCAGUGGGGAAUCUUGCGCAAUGGGCGGAAGCCUGACGCAGCAACGCCGCGUGAGGGAAGACGGCCUUCGGGUUGUAAACCUCUUUCAGGGGGGACGAAGCUUCCGAGGUUAAUAGCCUACGGGGUGACGGUACCCCAGAAGAAGCCCCGGCUAACUACGUGCCAGCAGCCGCGGUAAUACGUAGGGGGCGAGCGUUGUCCGGGAAUUAUUGGGCGUAAAGCGCGUGUAGGCGGCUAGGUAAGUCUGGUGUGAAAUCUUGGGGCUCAACCCCAAGCCUGCACUGGAUACUGCCCAGCUAGAGUCCGGGAGAGGAGAGUGGAAUUCCCAGUGUAGCGGUGAAAUGCGCAGAUAUUGGGAAGAACACCGGUGGCGAAGGCGGCUCUCUGGAACGGAACUGACGCUGAGACGCGAAAGCGUGGGGAGCGAACAGGGAUUAGAUA